rnacentral:lncRNA from 1 species
GCAAAUAAAGCUUUUCAUGGUCCACUGACUGAGAACAAUCAAACCCUUCACAAUCUAGAACCUGGAGAUUCUGAGAACAUCAGAGAAAGACCGCCCUUGCCACUCAUACUUCAGCAAAACUUUGGCACCUUGGACCUUGGGUUCAUAAUCUCACAACUCAGAAGGACCCCUCCAGACUCUUAGAACUGUAUACCCCUUGGAGAUGGUUAUCAUAUCAUUUGUGACAUAUACAGACAAGCUAUGAGAGUGAAUGUAAUGUGUGAGUUACAAAAGCUAGUUGUAUUUUUAUGCACCAGAAAAAAGUAUCAGUUACACUGAAAAACUUCAAAGUCAAAGAGAAAUUCUUUAAAGAUCCAGAAAAAAAGAAUGAUCCAGAUUACCUUCAAAUGAGCAACAGUUUAAAUGAGGACUGACUUCUCAACAGCAACUAUGAAAACCAAUGUAACUAUAUCUUCAAUAAACUGAAAGAAACUAACUGCCAACUAA